rnacentral:ncRNA from 2 species
CUCUUAUCAAGAGUGACCGAGGGAACAGGCCCAAUGACGUCCGGCAACCUCCUUUAUGGAACGGUGCUAAAUCCUGCAGAAUGAGCAAUUCAUUCUGAAAGAUAAGGU